rnacentral:rRNA from 1 species
AUAGGGGAGCCGUAGGGAAACCGAGUCUUAACCGGGCGUUAAGUUGCAGGGUAUAGACCCGAAACCCGGUGAUCUAGCCAUGGGCAGGUUGAAGGUUGGGUAACACUAACUGGAGGACCGAACCGACUAAUGUUGAAAAAUUAGCGGAUGACCUGUGGCUGGGGGUGAAAGGCCAAUCAAACCGGGAGAUAGCUGGUUCUCCCCGAAAGCUAUUUAGGUAGCGCCUCGUGAAUUCAUCUCCGGGGGUAGAGCACUGUUUCGGCUAGGGGGCCAUCCCGGCUUACCAACCCGAUGCAAACUGCGAAUACCGGAGAAUGUUAUCACGGGAGACACACGGCGGGUGCUAACGUCCGUCGUGAAGAGGGAAACAACCCAGACCGCCAGCUAAGGUCCCAAAGUCAUGGUUAAGUGGGAAACGAUGUGGGAAGGCCCAGACAGCCAGGAUGUUGGCUUAGAAGCAGCCAUCAUUUAAAGAAAGCGUAAUAGCUCACUGGUCGAGUCGGCCUGCGCGGAAGAUGUAACGGGGCUAAACCAUGCACCGAAGCUGCGGCAGCGAACGUAUCACUUAAAGCGAUUCAGCGGGUUACGAUUGACGGAGCGAAGCGACGUCAAAGCGUAUACAAAGUCGAGUCGGUUUAAGGAUACGUUCGUUGGGUAGGGGAGCGUUCUGUAAGCCUGUGAAGGUGGCCUGUGAGGGUUGCUGGAGGUAUCAGAAGUGCGAAUGCUGACAUAAGUAACGAUAAAGCGGGUGAAAAGCCCGCUCGCCGGAAGACCAAGGGUUCCUGUCCAACGUUAAUCGGGGCAGGGUGAGUCGACCCCUAAGGCGAGGCCGAAAGGCGUAGUCGAUGGGAAACAGGUUAAUAUUCCUGUACUUGGUGUUACUGCGAAGGGGGGACGGAGAAGGCUAUGUUGGCCGGGCGACGGUUGUCCCGGUUUAAGCGUGUAGGCUGGUUUUCCAGGCAAAUCCGGAAAAUCA